UUAGUGGAAGCGUCUGGAAAGGCGCGCGAUACAGGGUGACAGCCCCGUACACAAAAGCGCAUGUGCUGUGAGCUCGAUGAGUAGGGCGGGACACGUGGUAUCCUGUCUGAAUAUGGGGGGACCAUCCUCCAAGGCUAAAUACUCCUGACUGACCGAUAGUGAACCAGUACCGUGAGGGAAAGGCGAAAAGAACCCCGGCGAGGGGAGUGAAAAAGAACCUGAAACCGUGUACGUACAAGCAGUGGGAGCACAGGUUUACCUGUGUGACUGCGUACCUUUUGUAUAAUGGGUCAGCGACUUAUAUUCUGUAGCAAGGUUAACCGAAUAGGGGAGCCGCAGGGAAACCGAGUCUUAACCGGGCGUUAAGUUGCAGGGUAUAGACCCGAAACCCGGUGAUCUAGCCAUGGGCAGGUUGAAGGUUGGGUAACACUAACUGGAGGACCGAACCGACUAAUGUUGAAAAAUUAGCGGAUGACCUGUGGCUGGGGGUGAAAGGCCAAUCAAACCGGGAGAUAGCUGGUUCUCCCCGAAAGCUAUUUAGGUAGCGCCUCGUGAAUUCAUCUCCGGGGGUAGAGCACUGUUUCGGC
rnacentral:rRNA from 1 species